rnacentral:RNase_P_RNA from 2 species
UGAGUUGACCGGGUGGCCGCACGCCUCCUCGAGGAGGCGUGAGGAAAGUCGGGGCUCCGCAGGGCAGGGUGCUCGCGAAACGUGAGUCACGGUGACGUGCAGGAAAGUGCCACAGAGAACAGACCGCCGAUGGCCCCGCGAGGGGAUCAGGUGAGGGUGAAACGGUGCGGUAAGGGCGCACCAGCGUCCCGGGUGACUGGGGCGGCUCGGCAAACCCCACCCGGAGCAAGGUCAAACAUGGGAAUGCGGCCCGUAGGUCUCCUUCGAGACAUCCCAAGGUGGACCGCUCAGAUGGAUGGCCACACAGCCUCACACGAGGUGGACAGAACCCCGCUUACAGGUCAACUCACUAU